AACGCAACUUGCACCCUUUGGUAUUCCGAGGGGUACACCUGUUUGAGCGUCGUGAAUAUUCUCAACCCAAGGUUCUUUAUUGAAGGUUGGGCUUGGACUUUUGGAGGCUUUGCUGGAUUUCUUCGGCUCCUCUUAAAUGCAUUAGCAAAAAGACCCUUUGCGUGGCCUUGACGUGAUAAUGAUUGUCUACGUCGAACGAAGCCUGGCUUAGUUGGGACUUGCUUCUAACCGUCGUCCGUCAAAGGGGGACAAAUUGCUUGCAAGUCUUUUUUGGCUUGUAAGAAUAUCGACCUUGACCUCAAAUCAGGUGGGGUUACCCGCUGAACUUAA
rnacentral:misc_RNA from 1 species